rnacentral:rRNA from 1 species
GCGUUGCUCGGAAUUACUGGGCGUAAAGCGCACGUAGGCGGUCUUUUAAGUCGGGGGUGAAAUCCUGGAGCUCAACUCCAGAACUGCCUUCGAUACUGGAAGACUUGAGUCCGGGAGAGGUGAGUGGAACUGCGAGUGUAGAGGUGAAAUUCGUAGAUAUUCGCAAGAACACCAGUGGCGAAGGCGGCUCACUGGCCCGGUACUGACGCUGAGGUGCGAAAGCGUUGGGAGCAAACAGG